rnacentral:rRNA from 1 species
GAACAAGUACCGUGAGGGAAAGACGAAAAGAACUUUGGAAAGAGAGUUAAACAGUACGUGAAAUUGCUGAAAGGGAAACGCUUGAUGUCAGUCGCGUCCGCCAGGGAUCAACCUAGCUUGAUUGCUUGGUGCAUUUCUUGGUCGGACGGGUCAGCAUCGGUUUCGAUCGGGGUAUAAUGGCGGAGGGAAUGUGGCACCNCUAGGGGUGUGUUAUAGACUUUCGUCGUAUGCUUGGGUGGGGACCGAGGAACUCGACACGGACUUUCGAUAGUCUUGUGUCUAGGAUGCUGGCAUAAUGGCCUUAAGCGACCCGUCUUGAAACACGGACCAAGGAGUCUAACAUGCCUGCGAGUGUUCGAGUGAAUAAACUCGUGCGCGCAACGAAAGUGAAAGUCGAGAUCUCUGUCA